rnacentral:sRNA from 1 species
GUGCUCAGCCCCUGAAUGCUGAAAUCCUUUGUUUAUUUAUAGAACAAAUAGAAGUGCAGCAAUAAUGUGAGCUUCCUCGUACUGCCCACCAAUGUGCCUCUAGCCUGACUGGGAGCACCAGGUCUAGCGGAGAGGAUAUUUCAGUCUCCAUGCUCAUUUAGGCCUUAGUUGUC